GAUUUGGUAUGAUUGCCAAUAAACCAACUCUGAAACAGAGACGAAAUGACGUUAAAGUAAGCAAAUAUAAGUCACCGCAUGGUAUUCAAUCCAUACCACAUAGCAAGCUGUAACAGGCAUUUGAAUGACGAGAAAAUUAACGGCCUGAUUUAUUUAAAAACUAAUAAACGAACAACAAAAAUGAUAUUCAGCAACGAUAACUACCGAGUAAUAAUCUCAUGACUUGGGACAAACACAUCACAUAAUAUGGCUCUGUCAAAAUCAUUGGAUCGUUACAAAAGAAUCCCGUAUCUCGACGGAAAUACCAUCAGUAUACAUCCAACAUCCAUAUGCUCGAGAUAUUUGCCACUGGACACUAAGAAAGCAAUACGAAUACUCAAUCGUUACUCUAGAAGAUGAAACAUGAACUGGUGAUGAUUUGAUAAUUACCCAAAAUUAGUGUACUUGCAUGUCAUCAAAAGUUGUGUCAUGUAGAGAAUUGUUAACAGUUAAUGAAACGAAUUAAAAGUUCAUCACAGUACAAUGAAUCAAGACUGUGUGGAUUAACG
rnacentral:lncRNA from 1 species